UAAAGUGUGCCGGGGUCUCCA
rnacentral:miRNA from 1 species